GAUGAGCGCUGGCGGCGUGCCUAAUACAUGCAAGUCGAGCGAACAGACGAGGAGCUUGCUCCUCUGACGUUAGCAGCGGACGGGUGAGUAACACGUGGAUAACCUACCUAUAAGACUGGGAUAACUUCGGGAAACCGGAGCUAAUACCGGAUAAUAUAUUGAACCGCAUGGUUCAAUAGUGAAAGACGGUUUUGCUGUCACUUAUAGAUGGAUCCGCGCCGCAUUAGCUAGUUGGUAAGGUAACGGCUUACCAAGGCAACGAUGCGUAGCCGACCUGAGAGGGUGAUCGGCCACACUGGAACUGAGACACGGUCCAGACUCCUACGGGAGGCAGCAGUAGGGAAUCUUCCGCAAUGGGCGAAAGCCUGACGGAGCAACGCCGCGUGAGUGAUGAAGGUCUUCGGAUCGUAAAACUCUGUUAUUAGGGAAGAACAAAUGUGUAAGUAACUAUGCACGUCUUGACGGUACCUAAUCAGAAAGCCACGGCUAACUACGUG
rnacentral:rRNA from 1 species